rnacentral:misc_RNA from 1 species
AUAAGAAACCACCAGGAUAUGAUAAUCGCAAAAUUCUAUUGUUUUCAGCAUCCUGACUAGAUGGGCUUGUGAGCAAGCCACUGAUCCAAAAUGAUUGCUAAGACACUAUGUUUGAUAAAGAUGCAAAUCUAAGCUUCAAGUAAUAUAGCAAUCUAAUCUAUCCAGAGACAAGAUUACGUACAUAAUAAUCGCAAAAUAAACGUAUCAAGUUCCCUAAAAUGCAGAUAAA